UACUUAUUUCUGAGACACACUCUCAGACUUGUCUAUCCUGGAGCUGACUAUGUAGACCAGGCUGGCCUGGAACUCAGAGAUCCAUCCCCCUGUACCUCCCAAAUGCUGAGAUUAAAAAGGCACAUGCCACCAUGCCUGGCUAUCCUAAUUUUCUUAAACCUAAGAAUAAUUAUACUUCUGUGUUGGAAUAUGUAAGAAUUCAUACCUACCUUUUCUACUGCUCUGAGGUAACAUAUAUUAACAAGUAAGUAUAACUGGCUUUCGCAUGUGUAAGGUAACACGAGGCUCACAGAUCUGUAUAUAUCAUUUAUUUUGAAGGAUGGGGGGUGAAAAUGCUGGUCCUGAGCUAUUCACAAUAGAGAGCAAACACCAAGGCCAAUACCACGUAAGACUCUGUUUCAUGUUUAGCUUCUACCCAGUUGUCCCAUGCCACAUCCCAGAUCCAUCUGCUGGCAAUCUGUGAGACAAAAUUGAAAAGACUCAGAUGGAAUGUGUUAAGUAACUUAAAUUACAGUAGCUUGGCUUUUUAAAAAAAAAAAAAAAAAAAAAA
rnacentral:misc_RNA from 1 species